GAUGAACGCUGACAGAAUGCUUAACACAUGCAAGUCAACUUGAACUUCGGUUUGGGUGGCGGACGGGUGAGUAACGCGUAAAGAACUUGCCUCACAGCUAGGGACAACAUUUGGAAACGAAUGCUAAUACCUGAUAUUAUGAUUAUAUGGCAUCGUAUAAUUAUGAAAGCUAUAUGCGCUGUGAGAGAGCUUUGCGUCCCAUUAGCUAGUUGGAGAGGUAACAGCUCACCAAGGCGAUGAUGGGUAGCCGGCCUGAGAGGGUGAUCGGCCACAAGGGGACUGAGACACGGCCCUUACUCCUACGGGAGGCAGAAGUGGGGAAUAUUGGACAAUGGACCGAGAGGCUGAUCCAGCAAUUCUGUGUGCACGAUGAAGUUUUUCGGAAUGUAAAGUGCUUUCAGUUGGGAAGAAAAAAAUGACGGUACCAACAGAAGAAGUGACGGCUAAAUACGU
rnacentral:rRNA from 1 species